rnacentral:rRNA from 1 species
UACGGAGGGUGCAACCGUUGCUCGGAAUCAUUGGGCGUAAAGCGCACGUAGGCGGCGAAGCAAGUCGGGUGUGAAAGCCCUGGGCUCAACCCAGGAAGUGCAUUCGAAACUAUUUCGCUUGAAUCUCGGAGGGGGUCAGAGAAUUCCCGGUGUAGAGGUGAAAUUCGUAGAUAUCGGGAGGAAUACCAGUGGCGAAAGCGGCUCUCUGGAACGGUACUGACGCUGAGACGCGAAAGCGUGGGGAGCGAACAGG